rnacentral:rRNA from 1 species
UACGUAGGGGGCAAGCGUUGUCCGGAUUUAUUGGGCGUAAAGAGCGUGUAGGCGGCUGGGUAGGUCCGUUGUGAAAACUCGAGGCUCAACCUCGAGACGCCGAUGGAAACCAUCCAGCUAGAGUCCGGAAGAGGAGAGUGGAAUUCCUGGUGUAGCGGUGAAAUGCGCAGAGAUCGGGAGGAACACCAGUGGCGAAGGCGGCUACCUGGACCAGCACUGACACUGAGGCACGAAAGCGUGGGGAGCAAACAGG